AUUGAACGCUGGCGGCAUGCCUUACACAUGCAAGUCGAACGGUAACAGGUCUUCGGAUGCUGACGAGUGGCGAACGGGUGAGUAAUACAUCGGAACGUGCCUAGUAGUGGGGGAUAACUACUCGAAAGAGUGGCUAAUACCGCAUGAGAUCUACGGAUGAAGGCAGGGGAUCGCAAGACCUUGUGCUACUAGAGCGGCCGAUGGCAGAUUAGGUAGUUGGUGGGAUAAAAGCUUACCAAGCCGACGAUCUGUAGCUGGUCUGAGAGGACGAUCAGCAACACGGGGACUGAGACACGGCCCAGACUCCUACGGGAGGCAGCAGUGGGGAAUUUUGGACAAUGGGCGAAAGCCUGAUCCAGCAAUGCCGCGUGCAGGAUGAAGGCCUUCGGGUUGUAAACUGCUUUUGUACGGAACGAAAAGCCCCGGGUUAAUACCCUGGGGUCACGACGGUACCGUAAGAAUAAGCACCGGCUAACUACGUGCCAGCCGCCGCCGUAA
rnacentral:rRNA from 1 species